ACACAUGCAAGUCGAACGAGAGAGAGGAAGCUUGCUUCCUCAAUCGAGUGGCGAACGGGUGAGUAACGCGUGAGGAACCUGCCUCAAAGAGGGGGACAACAGUUGGAAACGACUGCUAAUACCGCAUAAGCCCACGGGUCGGCAUCGACCAGAGGGAAAAGGAGCAAUCCGCUUUGAGAUGGCCUCGCGUCCGAUUAGCUGGUUGGUGAGGUAAUGGCCCACCAAGGCGACGAUCGGUAGCCGGACUGAGAGGUUGAACGGCCACAUUGGGACUGAGACACGGCCCAGACUCCUACGGGAGGCAGCAGUGGGGAAUAUUGCACAAUGGGGGAAACCCUGAUGCAGCGACGCCGCGUGGAGGAAGAAGGUCUUCGGAUUGUAAACUCCUGUUGUUGAGGAAGAUAAUGACGGUACUCAACAAGGAAGUGACGGCUAACUACGUGCCAGCAGCCGCGGUAAAACGUAGGUCACAAGCGUUGUCCGGAAUUACUGGGUGUAAAGGGAGCGCAGGCGGGAAGACAAGUUGGAAGUGAAAUCUAUGGGCUCAACCCAUAAACUGCUUUCAAAACUGUUUUUCUUGAGUAGUGCAGAGGUAGGCGGGAUUCCCGGUGUAGCGGUGGAAUGCGUAGAUAUCGGGAGGAACACCAGUGGCGAAGGCGGCCUACUGGGCACCAACUGACGCUGAGGCUCGAAAGUGUGGGUAGCAAACAGGAUUAGAUACCCUGGUAGUCCACACCGUAAACGAUGAUUACUAGGUGUUGGAGGAUUGACCCCUUCAGUGCCGCAGUUAACACAAUAAGUAAUCCACCUGGGGAGUACGACCGCAAGGUUGAAACUCAAAGGAAUUGACGGGGGCCCGCACAAGCAGUGGAGUAUGUGGUUUAAUU
rnacentral:rRNA from 1 species